GACGAACGCUGGCGGCGUGCUUAACACAUGCAAGUCGAACGGUAAGGCUCCAGCUUGCUGGGGUACACGAGUGGCGAACGGGUGAGUAACACGUGGGUGACCUGCCCUGCACUUCGGGAUAAGCCUGGGAAACUGGGUCUAAUACCGGAUAGGACCAUGGUGUGGAUACUGUGGUGGAAAGUUUUUUCGGUGUGGGAUGGGCCCGCGGCCUAUCAGCUUGUUGGUGGGGUAAUGGCCUACCAAGGCGGCGACGGGUAGCCGGCCUGAGAGGGUGGACGGCCACAUUGGGUCUGAGACACGGCCCAGACUCCUACGGGAGGCAGCAGUGGGGAAUAUUGCACAAUGGGCGGAAGCCUGAUGCAGCGACGCCGCGUGGGGGAUGACGGCCUUCGGGUUGUAAACUCCUUUCACCAUCGACGAAGGGUUUCUGACGGUAGAUGGAGAAGAAGCACCGGCUAACUACGUG
rnacentral:rRNA from 1 species